rnacentral:rRNA from 1 species
GAUGAACGCUAGCUACAGGCUUAAUACAUGCAAGUCGAGGGACCGGCGCACGGGUGAGUAAUACAUAUCCAACCUGCCCUUUACUCAGGGAUAGCCUUUCAGAAGAAAGAUUAAUAUACGAUAUAAAGGAUGGGGAUGCGUUACAGUAGGUUGUUGGUGAGGUAACGUCUCACGAAGAAUUCGAUGGAGAGGAGUUCUGAGAGGAAGGUCCCUCACAUUGUAACUGGGACACGCUCCAAACGCCUACGCGAGGCAGCAGUGAGGAAUAUUGGUCAAUGGGCGGUAGCAUGAACCAGCCAAGUAGCGUGAAGGAUGAAGGCUUAUGGGUCGUAAACUUCUUUUAUAUAGGAAUAUGUAUUAUAUGAAUAAGGAGCGGCGAACUCCGUGCCAGCCGCCGCGGUAAUGC